GGUGCCCAAUUUUAUCAUGAAUUUUUUAAGAUUAAGUAAAAAUUGUUUUAAUCUUUGAUUAUUUAUAGUCUGUAUUAUUUACUUUUCUGUUGCUGUAAUAAAAUACCAUGACCAAGGGAAUUUAUGGAAGAGAUUAUUUUGGCUUGUGCCUCCAGAGGGAUGAGACCAUCAUGGAAGGGAGCUGGGAGAUCACAUGUUAAGCCCCAAACAUGAACAGAGAGAGUGAACUGGAAUUGAGGCUAGUCUACAUGCAAGUCUCAGAGCCUGCCCCUGGCUACACCCAGUAUGGACACUGUCUCCUGCUGCUGCUUACAGAUCAAGAUCUAGAACUCUCAGCAACUUCUCUAGCCCCAUGUCUGCCUGGAUGCUGCCAUGCUUCCCACCAUGAUAAUAAUGAACUAAACCUCUGAAACUGCAAGCUUCCUCUGAUUUGGAACAAAAUAAAAACAGGCUGGUCUUCCCUUGUACCUGACACAGGAGCAUGCAUGGGUGUUUGCCUUUCUUGCCUAUUUCCUCUCUGCAAGAGGAACGACAGGAAUCAGUGAUGCCCAGCAUACAUCUGCUUAAAAGCAGCAAGGAGAAAGGUUCAGUGCCUUGCUCCUAGUGGGACUAGACAAUCCCCUCACAGUUAGUACGUGAAGUGGCUCAGUUGUUCCGGAGCAAAUUGAACUGGCCCAGACAGCAGAGCUCUGUAAGACAUGUUGAUAUUGAUGGCUUCUUUGUCUCAGGGGCUAUAAGAAAUAUAACAGAUCUCAAAGGAAAAACAGUGGCUCUGUCAGCAACCAUGGCACAGGAAGGUCACCUUUUCAUCCUGGUGCUAACAUCCAGCUGGAGUGGCAGUAUUACCAAAAUAAAAUCCUGAAAGGAGAAGCAGAGAUCAUGUUGACCCAGAAAGUGGAGAUCUGAUUGCUGAGAUUAAAGGCUUGAGCCACCAUGAUUAUCUGUAAUAAAGUGAGGUGUUAGAGCCUGUGGCCUAGUGACGUGAACAUCGGGCCUGGAAGCAAGGUCAGAGUCAAAGUCUUUUUGAUAAAGAACCAGGAAUACAUACCAGCACAUCUGGGCUGACUGUCCUUCUUCCCAAGGGAUAGAUCAAUCUCAGAGAAGAUGGUCCUUCCUCUUGAUCUACAGGGUACUCUCUAGAUCAGUAGAGCCUCCUUACAAGUCACCACAUGUAAAUUGGAUUUACAUCCCUAUCAUCUAGAGGAUAGCAAGCACAGAGAACAGCAAAGACAAAAAAGAAAGGACAAAGAAC